rnacentral:rRNA from 1 species
GCCAGACUCCUACGGGAGGCAGCAGUGGGGAAUAUUGCACAAUGGGGGAAACCCUGAUGCAGCGACGCCGCGUGAGCGAUGAAGUAUUUCGGUAUGUAAAGCUCUAUCAGCAGGGAAGAAAAUGACGGUACCUGACUAAGAAGCCCCGGCUAACUACGUGCCAGCAGCCGCGGUAAUACGUAGGGGGCAAGCGUUAUCCGGAUUUACUGGGUGUAAAGGGGGCGCAGACGGCAGCGCAAGCCAGGAGUGAAAGCCCGGGGCCCAACCCCGGGACUGCUCUUGGAACUGCGCGGCUGGAGUGCAGGAGGGGCAGGCGGAAUUCCUGGUGUAGCGGUGAAAUGCGUAGAUAUCAGGAGGAACACCGGUGGCGAAGGCGGCCUGCUGGACUGUGACUGACGUUGAGGCUCGAAAGCGUGGGGAGCAAACAGGAUUAGAUACCCGUGUACC